UUAAUUUAAAAUAUGGUUCAAUGGCCCCUUUAAAUAUAAACCUUAGAAAAUAAAGCACACAUGAAUAAAAUCUAUACUUCUUAACAAGUCAAAAGACUCCAAAUUGUACAACAUUUACAAAAUUGCAACAAAAUCGUAAUAUGAAUAUGCUUUUCGACAAGAGAUGCAUGUAUUCCAAUAAAUGAAAUAUAUAAAAAAGAAAAAACAAGUUAUACAACUAAUGAUAAUGCGUUGCUCAAUUUGGCAAAUCAACAGGCUCUAUCGCUACUCAAUUCAGCUACUAUCUGAAAAGAAAAGGGAUUACAAAAUAUAUGAGCUUAUAGCUCAGUGAGUAGAUAAUUUGCAAAUGAGUAUAUCUUAUCCAUUUAUACAUAUUCUCUGAAAAUUCUUGCUCUAUUAAAACCUUGAGAAAUUCUGAAAUUUAGUAACACUUUUAAAACUAAACAUGAUUGUAUCAUAAAAUUCUUUGUUCUUAAUUCUAGAUAAGUAACUGUAAGGUAUAAUAAAUAUAAAUAAUCUGAUAUUAUGAUAUCAGUAAAUAUAAGUGAAAAUAUCCUAUCACACUACUACAAGUUGAAAUCAUUACUCUGAAAACUGAAUAAGCUAAAUUCUGUAGUCUAAAAUCUGAUUAGUUGUAUAAUACUGGAAAAUCACCCAAAAUGAUACCUCGGAAUAACCUUACUCAUGUAUCGAUUAGUA
rnacentral:lncRNA from 1 species